rnacentral:rRNA from 1 species
AGAGUUUGAUCAUGGCUCAGGACGAACGCUGGCGGCGUGCCUAAUACAUGCAAGUCGAACGAAGCUUUCUUUCACCGAAUGCUUGCAUUCACCGAAAGAAGCUUAGUGGCGAACGGGUGAGUAACACGUAGGCAACCUGACCAAAAGAGGGGGAUAACACUUGGAAACAGGUGCUAAUACCGCAUAACCAUGAACACCGCAUGAUGUUCGUGUAAAAGACGGCUUUUGCUGUCACUUUUGGAUGGGCCUGCGGCGUAUUAACUUGUUGGUGGGGUAACGGCCUACCAAGGUGAUGAUACGUAGCCGAACUGAGAGGUUGAUCGGCCACAUUGGGACUGAGACACGGCCCAAACUCCUACGGGAGGCAGCAGUAGGGAAUCUUCCACAAUGGACGAAAGUCUGAUGGAGCAACGCCGCGUGAAUGAAGAAGGCCUUCGGGUCGUAAAAUUCUGUUGUCAGAGAAGAAUGUGCGUGAGAGUAACUGUUCACGUAUUGACGGUAUCUGACCAGAAAGCCACGGCUAACUACGUGCCAGCAGCCGCGGUAAUACGUAGGUGGCAAGCGUUGUCCGGAUUUAUUGGGCGUAAAGGGAACGCAGGCGGUCUUUUAAGUCUGAUGUGAAAGCCUUCGGCUUAACCGAAGUAGUGCAUUGGAAACUGGAAGACUUGAGUGCAGAAGAGGAGAGUGGAACUCCAUGUGUAGCGGUGAAAUGCGUAGAUAUAUGGAAGAACACCAGUGGUGAAAGCGGCUCUCUGGUCUGUAACUGACGCUGAGGUUCGAAAGCGUGGGUAGCAAACAGGAUUAGAUACCCUGGUAGUCCACGCCGUAAACGAUGAGUGCUAAGUGUUGGAGGGUUUCCGCCCUUCAGUGCUGCAGCUAACGCAUUAAGCACUCCGCCUGGGGAGUACGGUCGCAAGACUGAAACUCAAAGGAAUUGACGGGGGCCCGCACAGGCGGUGGAGCAUGUGGUUUAAUUCGAAGCAACGCGAAGAACCUUACCAGGUCUUGACAUCUUCUGACAAUUCCAGAGAUGGAACGUUCCCUUCGGGGACAGAAUGACAGGUGGUGCAUGGUUGUCGUCAGCUCGUGUCGUGAGAUGUUGGGUUAAGUCCCGCAACGAGCGCAACCCUUAUUGUCAGUUGCCAUCAUUAAGUUGGGCACUCUGGCGAGACUGCCGGUGACAAACCGGAGGAAGGUGGGGAUGACGUCAAAUCAUCAUGCCCCUUAUGACCUGGGCUACACACGCGCUACAAUGGACGGUACAACGAGUCGCUAACUCGCGAGGGCAAGCUAAUCUCUUAAAGCCGUUCUCAGUUCGGAUUGCAGGCUGCAACUCGCCUGCAUGAAGUCGGAAUCGCUAGUAAUCGCGAAUCAGCAUGUCGCGGUGAAUACGUUCCCGGGCCUUGUACACACCGCCCGUCACACCAUGAGAGUUUGUAACACCCAAAGUCGGUGGGGUAACCUUUUGGAGCCAGCCGCCUAAGGUGGGACAGAUGAUUGGGGUGAAGUCGUAACAAGGUA